GUGAGGUAGGGAAGGAAUAGAAUAAGAUUCCUGUCAUGUAGACUGCUUCUCCGACAUGGACUGCACUGAGGACAUAUCAGCAGGCAAAUAUUCCCAAAGAAGUCUGAGCACCGUCCCACAGGAGACAUGGUGCUCACCACUAGGGGGAGAAAAGGCACUGGCUGCCGUGUCUGUCUGCUGAAAGGAGACUGAAAUUCUACAGCGAGGGAUGGAAACAAUGGCACAAUGUCGUAGUGGAAAGUUACAGGUUCGAGGGAGGUUAGUGCCCCCUGUGGACAGAGAGCACCAGUACACCAACAAGCCGAGCUGGACUUUGGUUGAUGGAGGCCCUUGAGCUCUUUCUCGUCUUGCUUCUCAUCUUCUUGGUUUAGAGGGAAAAACUGGACGAAGGUUGGAAAAGAAGAAUGCAUAAACUCUCAUCCUUCUGGCAAUGGUACCUAAACAGCUUAAGAGGUCUUAUAGCCCUGUCAGAUCAAAGGAACGAGCCUGACCAACGGAAUGGAAAUGCAGACGCGGCCUCGGAUCCUACUCCGGGAGAAAAGGAUUCGAAUUUAAAUGGACGGUUAAAGACAGUAACAUUUCAGCAAGUUUCCGCCGCUGAAUUUAUUUAUAGCGGGACAUACUGUAUUCUCCGAGACUGCGGCAUUUGCCAUAUGGCCUCUGGAAUGAGGGAAACUGCAGACACCUGUUAAAUAGGGAUCCAUGCAAACCCAGAUUGCCUAAUGCAUAGAAAAUGAUCAAAUUGCGACACGCUUCUUCAGAGCGCUCGAGAAGACGUGGCAGGUUUGUGAAGUCGCAUACCGUGUCCGUUGGCGUCUUCGUUGGAAGCACAUCAUAGCAUUACCGGCUGACUCAGAGCGUGCGAUUUCCAGGUAAUACGUUAUUGGCAGGACAACAAUGUCGCCGGAGAGGUGAAUGUGGGAAUAUAGUGGCCUGGCUUUCCCCCGGAGUCUGGCAUCUCCAAGACUUCUGUUUUUUUUUUUUUUUUUUCCCCUGGCGUUACACAUGGCUUCUCUUUGGGAGUCUUUGCUUGCCCUGUUUUCUAGAGACCAGUAAACCUUGCUUAGCCUUGUACGACUCGAAACAUCUUUGCUCAGAUGGUUUUCACCGUAGUACCUUGACGAGAUAUCCAUAAUUUACAAACAAUUUAGUACAUUUUUACAACCUUCAAGUCACUUAAAUGUGCGAUAUUACAUUACUUCAUCACGCUUUCACUUGAAAUGGUUGUUACGGGGGUCCCCCCUUAUCCGGGGUUUUUCGCUUUCCGCGGUUUCGGUUACUAAAUGGAAAAUUCUGGAAAAAACAAUGAUAAGUUUUAAACUGUGCGCCGUUCUGAGUAGCAUGAUGAAAUCGCACGCCAUCCCGUCUGGAACGUGAAUCAUCCUUUCGUCCAGCGUAUCUACGCUGUAUCCGCUACCCGCCCAUUAGUCACUUAGUAGAGUCUCAGUUAUCAGAUGGACUGUCACGGUAUCGCAGUGCUUGUGCUCAAGUAAACCUUUCUUUUUAAAUAAAAAAAAAUAGUAUAUACA
rnacentral:lncRNA from 1 species